UUAAGUUAUUAAGGGCGCACGGUGGAUGCCUUGGCACUAGAAGCCGAUGAAGGACGUUACUAACGACGAUAUGCUUUGGGGAGCUGUAAGUAAGCUUUGAUCCAGAGAUUUCCGAAUGGGGAAACCCAGCAUGAGUUAUGUCAUGUUAUCGAUAUGUGAAUACAUAGCAUAUCAGAAGGCACACCCGGAGAACUGAAACAUCUUAGUACCCGGAGGAAGAAAAAGAAAAUUCGAUUCCCUUAGUAGCGGCGAGCGAAACGGGAAGAGCCCAAACCAACAAGCUUGCUUGUUGGGGUUGUAGGACACUCUAUACGGAGUUACAAAGGACGACAUUAGACGAAUCAUCUGGAAAGAUGAAUCAAAGAAGGUAAUAAUCCUGUAGUCGAAAAUGUUGUCUCUCUUGAGUGGAUCCUGAGUACGACGGAGCACGUGAAAUUCCGUCGGAAUCUGGGAGGACCAUCUCCUAAGGCUAAAUACUCUCUAGUGACCGAUAGUGAACCAGUACCGUGAGGGAAAGGUGAAAAGCACCCCGGAAGGGGAGUGAAAUAGAACCUGAAACCGUGUGCUUACAAGUAGUCAGAGCCCGUUAAUGGGUGAUGGCGUGCCUUUUGUAGAAUGAACCGGCGAGUUACGAUUUGAUGCAAGGUUAAGCAGUAAAUGUGGAGCCGUAGCGAAAGCGAGUCUGAAUAGGGCGUUUAGUAUUUGGUCGUAGACCCGAAACCAGGUGAUCUACCCUUGGUCAGGUUGAAGUUCAGGUAACACUGAAUGGAGGACCGAACCGACUUACGUUGAAAAGUGAGCGGAUGAACUGAGGGUAGCGGAGAAAUUCCAAUCGAACCUGGAGAUAGCUGGUUCUCUCCGAAAUAGCUUUAGGGCUAGCCUCAAGUGAUGAUUAUUGGAGGUAGAGCACUGUUUGGACGAGGGGCCCCUCUCGGGUUACCGAAUUCAGACAAACUCCGAAUGCCAAUUAAUUUAACUUGGGAGUCAGAACAUGGGUGAUAAGGUCCGUGUUCGAAAGGGAAACAGCCCAGACCACCAGCUAAGGUCCCAAAAUAUAUGUUAAGUGGAAAAGGAUGUGGCGUUGCCCAGACAACUAGGAUGUUGGCUUAGAAGCAGCCAUCAUUUAAAGAGUGCGUAAUAGCUCACUAGUCGAGUGACACUGCGCCGAAAAUGUACCGGGGCUAAACAUAUUACCGAAGCUGUGGAUUGUCCUUUGGACAAUGGUAGGAGAGCGUUCUAAGGGCGUUGAAGCAUGAUCGUAAGGACAUGUGGAGCGCUUAGAAGUGAGAAUGCCGGUGUGAGUAGCGAAAGACGGGUGAGAAUCCCGUCCACCGAUUGACUAAGGUUUCCAGAGGAAGGCUCGUCCGCUCUGGGUUAGUCGGGUCCUAAGCUGAGGCCGACAGGCGUAGGCGAUGGAUAACAGGUUGAUAUUCCUGUACCACCUAUAAUCGUUUUAAUCGAUGGGGGGACGCAGUAGNAUAGGCGAAGCGUGCGAUUGGAUUGCACGUCUAAGCAGUAAGGCUGAGUAUUAGGCAAAUCCGGUACUCGUUAAGGCUGAGCUGUGAUGGGGAGAAGACAUUGUGUCUUCGAGUCGUUGAUUUCACACUGCCGAGAAAAGCCUCUAGAUAGAAAAUAGGUGCCCGUACCGCAAACCGACACAGGUAGUCAAGAUGAGAAUUCUAAGGUGAGCGAGCGAACUCUCGUUAAGGAACUCGGCAAAAUGACCCCGUAACUUCGGGAGAAGGGGUGCUCUUUAGGGUUAACGCCCAGAAGAGCCGCAGUGAAUAGGCCCAAGCGACUGUUUAUCAAAAACACAGGUCUCUGCUAAACCGUAAGGUGAUGUAUAGGGGCUGACGCCUGCCCGGUGCUGGAAGGUUAAGAGGAGUGGUUAGCUUCUGCGAAGCUACGAAUCGAAGCCCCAGUAAACGGCGGCCGUAACUAUAACGGUCCUAAGGUAGCGAAAUUCCUUGUCGGGUAAGUUCCGACCCGCACGAAAGGCGUAACGAUUUGGGCACUGUCUCAACGAGAGACUCGGUGAAAUCAUAGUACCUGUGAAGAUGCAGGUUACCCGCGACAGGACGGAAAGACCCCGUGGAGCUUUACUGUAGCCUGAUAUUGAAAUUCGGCACAGCUUGUACAGGAUAGGUAGGAGCCUUUGAAACGUGAGCGCUAGCUUACGUGGAGGCGCUGGUGGGAUACUACCCUAGCUGUGUUGGCUUUCUAACCCGCACCACUUAUCGUGGUGGGAGACAGUGUCAGGCGGGCAGUUUGACUGGGGCGGUCGCCUCCUAAAAGGUAACGGAGGCGCUCAAAGGUUCCCUCAGAAUGGUUGGAAAUCAUUCAUAGAGUGUAAAGGCAUAAGGGAGCUUGACUGCGAGACCUACAAGUCGAGCAGGGUCGAAAGACGGACUUAGUGAUCCGGUGGUUCCGCAUGGAAGGGCCAUCGCUCAACGGAUAAAAGCUACCCCGGGGAUAACAGGCUUAUCUCCCCCAAGAGUUCACAUCGACGGGGAGGUUUGGCACCUCGAUGUCGGCUCAUCGCAUCCUGGGGCUGUAGUCGGUCCCAAGGGUUGGGCUGUUCGCCCAUUAAAGCGGUACGCGAGCUGGGUUCAGAACGUCGUGAGACAGUUCGGUCCCUAUCCGUCGUGGGCGUAGGAAAUUUGAGAGGAGCUGUCCUUAGUACGAGAGGACCGGGAUGGACAUACCUCUGGUGUACCAGUUGUCGUGCCAACGGCAUAGCUGGGUAGCUAUGUGUGGACGGGAUAAGUGCUGAAAGCAUCUAAGCAUGAAGCCCCCCUCAAGAUGAGAUUUCCCAACUUCGGUUAUAAGAUCCCUCAAAGAUGAUGAGGUUAAUAGGUUCGAGGUGGAAGCAUGGUGACAUGUGGAGCUGACGAAUACUAAUCGAUCGAAGACUUAAUCAA
rnacentral:rRNA from 1 species